rnacentral:lncRNA from 1 species
UAGAAAUAUAACCCACAGGAUAACAACAAAUAAAUGAAUUUCUCAAUGAACUUGCAGCGGAAUAGUGUAACCAAUGAAUAAAGCAACGGUACCAGAAACGAAAUAGAGACAGAAGCAUAAGAAGCUCCAGGAGGCAAUGCCAAUAUUUAUUUAUAAGAACUCAGCUUUUACACAUGCUUAGACAACCGGCAGACUAGUACUACACAUAUAUAUAUAGGUACCAAGUCUCCAUAUUGCUCAGGGAUCCGCACCAUCUAAUAAAUCAAAGACCACAUUGGAAUAGGACAUCAAGCAUC